rnacentral:rRNA from 1 species
CCUACGGGAGGCUGCAGUGGGGAAUUUUCCGCAAUGGGCGAAAGCCUGACGGAGCAACGCCGCGUGAGGGAUGAAGGCCUCUGGGCUGUAAACCUCUUUUUUCAAGGAAGAAGAUCUGACGGUACUUGAAGAAUAAGCCACGGCUAAUUCCGUGCCAGCAGCCGCGGUAAUACGGGAGUGGCAAGCGUUAUCCGGAAUUAUUGGGCGUAAAGCGUCCGCAGGCGGCCUCAAAAGUCUGUCGUUAAAGCGUGGAGCUUAACUCCAUUUAAGCGAUGGAAACUGUGAGGCUAGAGUGUGGUAGGGGCAGAGGGAAUUCCCGGUGUAGCGGUGAAAUGCGUAGAUAUCGGGAAGAACACCAGUGGCGAAGGCGCUCUGCUGGGCCAUAACUGACGCUCAUGGACGAAAGCCAGGGGAGCGAAAGGGAUUAGAUACCCGAGUAGUC